rnacentral:tRNA from 1 species
AUUACUUUAGCAAAUUAGUGCAUUAAAUUUAGAAUUUAAAAAUAAAAUUAAUAAUUUUAAGUAAUA